rnacentral:lncRNA from 1 species
UUAGCUGAAAUAAAUGCAAUCUUAUUCCAUUGACUGACACAAGUUAUAAUGUCUCAUAGUUCUAAAUACGCAGCGGAAUAAUAAAGAUAAAACAUCAAUAUAAAUAAACCCUAAUAUAAGAUAACUUGUGCCACAGUUCUAAUCGCUCUCCCAUUUUGAAACCCCGAUAGGUUAGUUCUCGGCAUCUGUAAAACAAUAAGAAAUUGUAUAAUGAGCUAAACAGCCCAGUAAGUAAUAAACACCUUAACUAGUCAAAUCGUAUAAUAACAUAAAAUAUAAAUUACAAAUUACGAUGAAUCAACAUAAUAACAUAAUCAAUUCAUUUUCAAACACAAAUUCAUUAAAAUCCGUAUCUUUCAAAUAUCCAUAUGCAUAAUCGUAAAUCUGAUUCGAAACAAAUCACAUUCAUCUCAACAGCCUUUAACUACAACUACACUUAUACCCUGUGGCUAGGCUAGAAAUUUCUCCGUACUUAUACCCUGCGGAGUGGGCCAGAAUACCACACUUAUACCCUACGGAGUGGGCCAGAAUACCACACUUAUACCCUAUGGUGAGGGCCAGAAUUGCCAAUGCAUAACCCCCAAUUGGCAGGUUCCAGAACAUAGUCAGGCUGAGAGUUCUAAAUCUGAUGCACAUCAAAAUUCUUUUGGUACAUAAUAGAUAUAUCAUAGUCCGAUCUAAAUAUGCAUAUACGAUGCAAGAACAGUAAAUAUAUCCGAAAAAUAUUAUUCCAAUUCACAUAUCUAUUUUUCAUUCAAAUCAUUAUCUCGUAAAAUUCAUAAAUCACAUAUAAAUUCAUUAACAAUUUAUUCGAUGCAAAAAUAAUAUUAUAUAAAUGAAGAGUCUAGAGAAGGCAGCUCAUUACUUACAUUGAACGCGAUGCACAACAAAUCCAAUAAAUCUCACAAAUUCCUCGCAGAACCUAAUAUCUAAAAAUCAUAUUUUCUUUUAAAAUUCAUCACAAUAUAUAUAAAACUUAAAUUUUAAUAUUCUCCCAGGGUUGACCCUGCUAAGGUGUCUAGCACCCCGGUUUCGGAUUCGGAUUCGGGUUCAUACCCGUAGACCACCCUCUUCCCUUUAUUUUAUUAUUAUUAUUNNNNNNNNNNNNNNNNNNNNUAUUCUCCCAGGGUUGACCCUGCUAAGGUGUCUAGCACCCCGGUUUCGGAUUCGGAUUCGGGUUCAUACCCGUAGACCACCCUCUUCCCUUUAUUUUAUUAUUAUUAUUAUUUUCUUUUCUUUUCUUUUUUUCUUUUCUUUUCUUCUCUUCUUCUCCCGAAGCUUCCUCUCCUUUCUUUCUUUUUCUUCUUCUUCUCUUCUCCUCUCUUUUCUUUGGCGGAACAGGGGACCCAUACCCCCAUUUCCUUCCUUCUCCGUCGGACUCAGGGGUGGCCACGGUGGCCAACCCCGUUGGCGGCAAGGGGUGGCGAAGCAAAGUGCGACCACCCCCAGCAGCUGGCGGCGGCGCACAAGGCCGGCGACGAGAGGACAUGCCCGAACAGGGCUCUUCUGUUUUUGGGUAAAAAUCCCGACGAUGGCCGGCUCAAAACCAUGACAAAUCAUGGCUAAAUAUCAUGGAAGGAAGGGAGGAAAGCUGGGAGUCCUUACCUCGGCCCCGAUGAUGGUCCGGUGGCUUCUUUCCAGCGGCAAACGGAGGAGGAAAAGACCACCCGUGCGGCCGUGCCAAAUCUAUCCCGCUUCUCUCUCCCCCUCUUUCUCUCUCUCCCCCUCCCUCCCUCUUGGGCGACUGCACGAGGAAGAAGAGGAGACUCGGGGUUUGCGGCUACCCUUCAUCUGGCCUCAACGAGAAGGAGAAGAAGCCCUAAAACAGGGCUUCCUUCUUCUUCGGGAUGGAUCCUUCCAUCCCGGUGCCUCACGUGCGCCGAAACCUGGGACUGGGCCGGUCAAAUGGACCGGGCCCAGUUCCGGGGUCUCACAUCCUUCCUCUCUUAAAAAAAAUUUCGUCCACGAAAUUUUCGUACAUGUAGUUCAAGAGUAGAUUAUACUUCUUCCAAACUAAGUCAUAACACUCUUCAAAUCAAAGUCGUCUUGUCUGACCAAUUU